rnacentral:rRNA from 1 species
UUAUCAUGCAGUCGAGGGGCAGCGCAGUGUAGCAAUACAUGGGCGGCGACCGGCAAACGGGUGCGGAACACGUACGCAACCUUCCUUCAAGCGGGGCAUAGCUUUCGGAAACGAAAAUUAAUACCCCAUAGUAAUGUCUGAGGGCAUCUGAGGACAUUUAAAGAUUUAUCACUUGAAGAUGGGCGUGCGCCUGAUUAGGUAGUUGGCGGGGUAACGGCCCACCAAGCCUACGAUCAGUAACUGGUGUGAGAGCACGACCAGUCACACGGGCACUGAGACACGGGCCCGACUCCUACGGGAGGCAGCAGUAAGGAAUAUUGGUCAAUGGACGCAAGUCUGAACCAGCCAUGCCGCGUGGAGGAUGAAGGUCCUCUGGAUUGUAAACUUCUUUUAUCGGAGAAGAAACCCCUGAAUUCUUUUAGGGUUGACGGUACCCGAUGAAUAAGCACCGGCUAACUCCGUGCCAGCAGCCGCGGUAAUACGGAGGGUGCAAGCGUUAUCCGGAUUCACUGGGUUUAAAGGGAGCGUAGGUGGGCUGGUAAGUCAGUGGUGAAAUCUCCGGGCUUAACUCGGAAACUGCCGUUGAUACUAUCAGUCUUGAAUGUUGUGGAGGUAAGCGGAAUAUGUCAUGUAGCGGUGAAAUGCUUAGAUAUGACAUAGAACACCGAUAGCGAAGGCAGCUUGCUACACAAUUAUUGACACUGAGGCUCGAAAGCGUGGGGAUCAAACAGGAUUAGAUACCCUGGUAGUCCACGCCCUAAACGAUGGAUACUCGACAUAUGCGAUACACUGUAUGUGUCUGAGCGAAAGCAUUAAGUAUCCCACCUGGGAAGUACGACCGCAAGGUU